CACUAAAAUACCGGUUCCCAUAUGAUCAUCAAAGUUAAGCAACAUUGUGCCUAAUCAGUAUGUAGAUUGGUGACUACUUGGGAAUAACAGGUGC